UAAGGAAUAUUGCUCAAUGGGAGAAAUCCUGAAGCAGCAACGCCGCGUGGAGGAUGAAGGGUCUAUGACUUGUAAACUCCUGUAAAGAAGGAAAAAAUUCCCAUUAGAUGGGAGAUGAUGGUACUUCUGGAGUAAGCCCCGGCUAACUACGUGCCAGCAGCCGCGGUAAUACGUAGGGGGCAAGCGUUGUCCGGAUUUACUGGGUGUAAAGGGUUCUCAGGCGGAUUUGUAAGUCAGAGGUGAAAUCUUACAGCUUA
rnacentral:rRNA from 1 species